rnacentral:rRNA from 1 species
AGUCGAGGGGUAUAGGUUUUCGGAUCUAGAGACCGGCGCACGGGUGCGUAACGCGUAUGCAAUCUACCUUUUACAGAGGGAUAGCCCAGAGAAAUUUGGAUUAAUACCUCAUAGUAUUAUGAAAUGGCAUCAUUUUAUAAUUAAAGUCACAACGGUAAAAGAUGAGCAUGCGUCCCAUUAGCUAGUUGGUAAGGUAACGGCUUACCAAGGCAACGAUGGGUAGGGGUCCUGAGAGGGAGAUCCCCCACACUGGUACUGAGACACGGACCAGACUCCUACGGGAGGCAGCAGUGAGGAAUAUUGGACAAUGGGCGCAAGCCUGAUCCAGCCAUGCCGCGUGCAGGAUGACGGUCCUAUGGAUUGUAAACUGCUUUUGUACGAGAAGAAACACUACUUCGUGAAGUAGCUUGACGGUAUCGUAAGAAUAAGGAUCGGCUAACUCCGUGCCAGCAGCCGCGGUAAUACGGAGGAUCCAAGCGUUAUCCGGAAUCAUUGGGUUUAAAGGGUCCGUAGGCGGUUUAGUAAGUCAGUGGUGAAAGCCCAUCGCUCAACGGUGGAACGGCCAUUGAUACUGCUAGACUUGAAUUAUUAGGAAGUAACUAGAAUAUGUAGUGUAGCGGUGAAAUGCUUAGAGAUUACAUGGAAUACCAAUUGCGAAGGCAGGUUACUACUAAUUGAUUGACGCUGAUGGACGAAAGCGUGGGUAGCGAACAGGAUUAGAUACCCUGGUAGUCCACGCC